GAUGCUAGUCAGUAUGCUCAUUAUGUAUUUAAAGCAUUUGACAAUGAUGGAAGCGGGACAAUUAACUUCCAGGAAUUUGUCCUCGGUCUUUCGACUAUUUCACGGGGAUCUCCAACUGAAAAGCUCCAAUGGACUUUCAACCUGUAUGACAUUAAUGGAGAUGGUUGCAUCACAAGAGAGGAAAUGCGAGAGAUUAUUAAUUCCAUAUACAACUUACUUGGUAAAUUCACAGAGCCAAUGGUCUCAGCGGAAGCGACAAGGGACCACGCUGAUAGAGUAUUUGAUCGACUUGACUUAAAUAAAGAUGGCAUUGUCACUUUCGACGAAUUUCUAGAAACGUGUCUACAUGAUGAAAAUAUUACCAAGUCUCUAAAUCUGCUGGACACAGUUCUCUAAUUACUCUGUCUAAACUGUGAGCUAUACAUUAAGACCCGUCCUCUUUUUCUGUUGACAUUAAUGACUGAGCUGGAUC